GGAAACGUGGCCGAGAGGCUGAAGGCACUUCCCUGCUAAGGAAGCAUGUGGGCUUAAACCUGCAUCGAGGGUUCGAAUCCCUCCGUUUCCG
rnacentral:tRNA from 1 species